GACGAACGCUGGCGGCGUGCUUAACACAUGCAAGUCGAACGGGCCCGCUCCCUUUUUUGGGGGUGGGUUGAGUGGCGAACGGGUGAGUAUCACGUGAGUAACCUGCCCCCUGCUCCUGGAUAACUGCUUGAAAGGGCGGCUAAUACGGGGUGUGCCGGCUGGUCCGCAUGGGCCUGGUCGGGAUAGUUUCAUCUUCGGGUGUUUCGGUGGGGGAUGGGCUCGCGGCCUAUCAGCUUGUUGGUGGGGUGAUGGCCCGCCAAGGCGGUGACGGGUAGCCGGCCUGAGAGGGUGGGCGGCCACACUGGGACUGAGACACGGCCCAGACUCCUGCGGGAGGCAGCAGUGGGGGGUAUUGCACAAUGGGCGGAAGCCUGAUGCAGCGACGUCGCGUGAGGGAUGGAGGCCUUCGGGUUGUGAACCUCUUUCUCCGGUGGUGAAGGCCCUGUCCGUUGCGGCGGGGUUGACGGUAGCCGGGUAUGAAGCGCCGGCUAACUACGUG
rnacentral:rRNA from 1 species